rnacentral:rRNA from 1 species
UGCCAGCAGCCGCGGUAACACGGGGGGCGCAAGCGUUAUUCGGAAUUAUUGGGCGUAAAGGGCGCGUAGGCGGUCUUGUCGGUCAGGUGUGAAAGCCCGGGGCUCAACCCUGGAAGUGCACUUGAAACAGCAAGACUUGAGUACGGGAGAGGAAAGCGGAAUUCCUGGUGUAGAGGUGAAAUUCGUAGAUAUCAGGAGGAACAUCUGAGGCGAAGGCGGCUUUCUGGACAGAUAUUGACGCUGAGGCGCGAAGGCGUGGGUAGCGAACAGGAUUAGAUA